rnacentral:rRNA from 1 species
UACGUAGGGUCCGAGCGUUGUCCGGAAUUAUUGGGCGUAAAGGGCUCGUAGGCGGUUCGUCACGUCGGGAGUGAAAACUCGGGGCUUAACCCCGAGCCUGCUUCCGAUACGGGCAGACUAGAGGUAGGCAGGGGAGAGCGGAACUCCUGGUGUAGCGGUGGAAUGCGCAGAUAUCAGGAAGAACACCGGUGGCGAAGGCGGGUCUCUGGGCCGAAACUGACGCUGAGGAGCGAAAGCGUGGGGAGCAAACAGG